AAAAAGGCCCUUUUCAGGGCCAAACAAAUAGGCUUUUGGAGCUUG
rfam:Ixodes scapularis strain Wikel colony gcontig_1108378695982, whole genome shotgun sequence.